rnacentral:rRNA from 1 species
UACAGAGGGGGCAAGCGUUGUUCGGAAUUACUGGGCGUAAAGGGCGCGUAGGUGGCCUUCUAAGUUGAACGUGAAAUCCCUGGGCUCAACCCAGGAACUGCGUCCAAGACUGGGAGGCUUGAAUCCGGGAGAGGGAUGCGGAAUUCCAGGUGUAGCGGUGAAAUGCGUAGAUAUCUGGAGGAACACCGGUGGCGAUGGCGGCGUUCUGGACUGUCUCUGACACUGAAGAACGAAAGCCAGGGGAGCAAACGGG